CGCUGAACAUUGGUGUCGGGAUAUAUAAAAGACUUAGGCCUACACCACUUUGACUCUGACUUGGGGAGAUAAACUGCAGCUAUGUCGGCAGAAAAGAAGGAAGCAGAAAAGAGGAAAAAGUUUCGCUUUACAAGGGAGCAGGAUGUUUACCUGCUCAGAGAGGUCUUGGCCGUGAAUCCGUACGACGGCCCCGAUCAAAAGAGCCAGAAAGCUAAAUGGUGUAUUGUUGCCACUCAUCUGAAUGACACUGAACAGGAGUUCAAUGUUAUCCAUCGGCUCUGCAGAGAGCACACAGACUUACUACUCAAGAAAUUUAAGAAAGACAAUUGAGAAAGCCUGAAAAAGUGAAAAAAGAGUGGAGUUGAUGAAUGGUAUGAUGAACUGAUGCAACUCCUUCAAGAACUCGUGGAUCUUGUAAAUGAACAGGAGACGGCAUCAGAGGUAAAAAAAAGCGGAAACUAGUAACAAGAAGGAGGCUGCUCGAGAGAAAGCAGAACGCAUCAGAGAAAAUGCCAUGAAGGGACAGGAAAGAAAUGACAAAGAUUCGUAGUCGGAGAUACAGCAGAAGAAAGAAGGCAAGGGUAGAAAACGCUAUGCAAAAGAUGAUGUAAUAAGGUACCUGGGAAAAAAGAAUAAAUCUGACGAACAACUGAAACGGGAGGAAUUAAGUAUCCGGCGCG